GACGAACGCUGGCGGCGUGCUUAACACAUGCCAGUCGAACGGAAAGGCCCUGCUUUUGUGGGGUGCUCGAGUGGCGAACGGGUGAGUAACACGUGAGUAACCUGCCCUUGACUUUGGGAUAACUUCAGGAAACUGGGGCUAAUACCGGAUAGGAGCUCCUGCUGCAUGGUGGGGGUUGGAAAGUUUCGGCGGUUGGGGAUGGACUCGCGGCUUAUCAGCUUGUUGGUGGGGUAGUGGCUUACCAAGGCUUUGACGGGUAGCCGGCCUGAGAGGGUGACCGGCCACAUUGGGACUGAGAUAGGGCCCAGACUCCUACGGGAGGCAGCAGGGGGGAAUAUGGCACAAUGGGCGGAAGCCGGAGGCAGCAACGCCGCGUGCGGGAGGACGGCCUUCGGGUGGUAAACCGCUUUCGCCUGUGACGAAGCGUGAGUGACGGUAAUGGGUAAAGAAGCACCGGCUAACUACGUG
rnacentral:rRNA from 1 species